rnacentral:other from 1 species
UUAUCCCUGCGGUGUUCGUUUUGGUGCGAUAUCUUUGAACCAAUAUAAACACCCCGGCUGCCAGACUCGCGAAGUGGUGUGCAAUUCCAAUGCGAAAUUGCCUGAAACUUUGCCCAGGUGGCCCCUUGAACCUUAGGUUCAAGACUAGCAUCGGACGGCACCUGCGGGGGUACC